rnacentral:misc_RNA from 1 species
AAGACUAUAGACCUGCGGAGUACCUGCGGAGGGAUCAUUACAGAGUUGCAAAACUCCCAAACCAUUGUGAACGUUACCUUCUCGUUGCUUCGGCGGGCGGCCCGGGUCCUUCCCGGCGCCCCCCGGCCCCUCGCGGGCGCCCGCCGGAGGUAAACCAAACUCUUGAAUUGUAUGGCCUCUCUGAGUCUUCUGUACUGAAUAAGUCAAAACUUUUAACAAUGGAUCUCUAGAUCGGAAGAG